UGGCCUGGCCUCUCCAGCCGCUGCUGACCACACCUCCCCCAGGGCAGAGGCCGCUGUGAGGAGCAGGAAAUGCUGCACCAGCUGGCUCCCCGGGAUCUUGGUCUGAACGCUAGGAUGGAGCUGGGGGCAGCGACGGAAACCUUCGUGCUGGAGCUCCGGUGUCUUGAAGAUGGGGGCCCAUGUCCUGGCACCCUGUCAGGUGGCAGCGGUGGGAGUGAGAGUCAAGAGGAAGAAGAGGCUCAGGAUAAGAACGGCAGCCCUCCCCGGCCAACAAGCGCCGCCCCAACGGGGGCCAGGGAACUGGCUGAGGAAGCAGCGCCCGGACAGCAGGAGUUGCAGCGGCAACAGUCAGAGCUGCAACCAGAGCAGCAACCACAAAGCCAGCCAGCAGGAUGGCAGCUAGAAUUGAAGCAGCAGCAGCAGCAGCAACACCUGCAGCAGAAACAGUUACAGCAGAAGCAGGAGGAACAGUUACAGCAGCACCAGCAGCAGCGACAACACCUGCAGCAGGAACAGUUACAGCAGAAGCAGGAGGAACAGUUACAGCAGCACCAGCAGCAGCGACAACACCUGCAGCAGGAACAGUUACAGCAGAAGCAGGAGGAACAGUUACAGCAGCAGCAGCAGCAGCAGGAACAGCAGAAUCAGGAGAAACAGUUACAGCAGCAGCACCUGCAGCCGCAGGAACAGUUACAGGUGCUGCAGCAGCAGCAGGAACAGUUACAGCUUCAGCAGCUGCAGCAGCAGGAACAGUUACAGCAGCAGCAGCUGCAGCAGCAAGAACAGUUACAGCAGCAGCAGCUGUUGCAGCAACAGCAGAUGCAGCAGCAAGAACAGUUGCAACAGCAGCAGCAGCCCCGUCCACUGGAGCCAGAGGAGGAGGAAGAGGUGGAGCUGGAGCUCAUGCCGGUGGACCUGGGGACGGAGCAGGAACUGGAGCAGCAGCGGCAGGAGCUAGAGCGGCAGCAGGAGCUGGAGAGAGAACAGGAACAGCGGCAGCUGCAGCUCAAACUGCAGGAGCAGCUGCAGCAGCUGGAGCAGCAGCUGGAGCAGCAGCAGCAGCUGGAGGAGCAGCAGGAGGUGCAGCUGGAGCUGACCCCGGUGGAGCUGGGAGCCCAGCAGCAGGAGGUGCAGCUGGAGCUCACCCCCGUGGAGCUGGGAGCCCAGCAGCAGGAGGUGCA
rnacentral:lncRNA from 1 species